rnacentral:lncRNA from 1 species
UACUCUAAGCAGUUCGCAGGGAGCAUCUUUCAGCAGCUGAAACAGCUUUGCGGCCUUGCUGUAAUGAAGAUCUGCCAGCACCCGGUGUUGUUUCCUAAGGUGUUCAUCACCAACCUAGAACCAAACCAAAACAAGCAACAAAUCCUUCACGAGACCGUCCAGGCUGGACUUGAACUCCUUCCUCGGCUGAAGUGAUCCUCCUGCCUCAGCGUCCUGAAUAGGAAGUGGAGCCAGAAUCCACAGAUGUCAUUAUCCAUCUGCACACUUUGUUUACUACCCAGAAGGCAAGAAUAUUGCAUUUUAAAAGUGCCCGGACUUUUGUUCUUUCUUAUCACAAAUGACUUGGGAAGCUCCGACCACUCAUGUUUACCCCGAGUGAAAGUCCCAUUCAAAGCCUUGCUUCCUGGAGAGCUUUGAGAUUCUGGUACAAAAGGCAUUUUAUAAGCACAAAGUGGAAAAGCAUCAUUCAUAUUCAUUUGCUGCUGCGGCAUUUCUCCCUGGAAUCUUCCUCUUGUCUGUCAACAUUGGGCAAAAGGACUGGCCUCAUCUACAUUACAGAUAUCCU